rnacentral:rRNA from 1 species
UUGCUGGUUGUGCCACAGGUGAUUGAUGCAAGUAUAGUACAUGAUCCAUGGACAAGGGUAUCACGGGGAUUUGGAUUUAUUACCAUGGCUACUCUUAAGAAGGCAGAACGCUGCAUCAAAUAUCUGAACUGUUCAGUGCUAGAAGUCCGUAUCAUUAUUGUUGAGAAGGUAUUGCUAAAAGACAGUUAA